rnacentral:rRNA from 1 species
AUUGAACGCUGGCGGCAGGCCUAACACAUGCAAGUCGAGCGGAUGAAGGGAGCUUGCUCCUGGAUUCAGCGGCGGACGGGUGAGUAAUGCCUAGGAAUCUGCCUGGUAGUGGGGGAUAACGUCCGGAAACGGGCGCUAAUACCGCAUACGUCCUGAGGGAGAAAGUGGGGGAUCUUCGGACCUCACGCUAUCAGAUGAGCCUAGGUCGGAUUAGCUAGUUGGUGGGGUAAAGGCCUACCAAGGCGACGAUCCGUAACUGGUCUGAGAGGAUGAUCAGUCACACUGGAACUGAGACACGGUCCAGACUCCUACGGGAGGCAGCAGUGGGGAAUAUUGGACAAUGGGCGAAAGCCUGAUCCAGCCAUGCCGCGUGUGUGAAGAAGGUCUUCGGAUUGUAAAGCACUUUAAGUUGGGAGGAAGGGCAGUAAGUUACUACCUUGCUGUUUUGACGUUACCAACAGAUUAAGCACCGGCUAACUUCGUG